CAGGACAGAGGGGCCACCUGUCCCCACCCACCACUCCCUGCCCUUAUGAGUCACUGCUCCAAAGAGAGGGGGUGUCACAGCCCCAGACCCGUUUGUCCAGCUGCCUGGGAGAGGCAGGGUACCACAGAGGAGCUGGCAUCCCGAGAAAGGAUGCCACCACCAGCUGGUCCCUUCCAGAGCUCUGUCUGAACUCCACCAGCCUUGCUUCUGGCCUCAUCCUGCAGACCCAGGGGACACCUCCACUUGCAAGUUCAGUCCAUGGGCACUGCACACUCUCUCGGCCCCAAGUUGAACCCCUUUUCCUCACCCAACAUCCUCCAUUUCAACAAAUGGCAGCGUUGUGGGUAAAAUAACACCUCCUUCAGAGACAUUGACAUCCUCAUCCCUGACUUCGGCUGCAGCUCAGUGGUGCAAUCUCAGCUCAUUGCAACUUCCACCUCCCAGGAUGAAGCAAUCCUCCCACCUCAGCCUCUCCAGUAGCUGAGACUUCAAGCUCCCUCCAGCAGCCGAGCUGAUUUUUGUAUUUUUUUAUAGAGAUGGGGUUUCACCAUGUUGCCCAGGCUGGUGUCAAAUCCCUGGGCUCAAGUAAUCUGCCCACCUCGACCUCCCAAAGUGCUGGGAUUGCCUGCGUGAGCCCCAUCCCCGGCCUGCUCAUUUCCUUCUAGUGCUGAAGAAUAUUCCGAUGUCUGGAUAGACCACAGUUUGUCUGUCCACUCACCUCUAGGCAGACAUCUUGGUUGCUUCCAGUUUUUAGUGACGGUGAAUAAAACUGCUCUAAACAUUCGUGUGCAGGUGUUGGUGUGAACAUAAGUUUUCAACUCAUUUAUCGAGUGGCUGCACCGUUUUGCAGUUCCGCCAGCAACGCAUGAGACUUCCUGUUGCCGCACGCCCACCCCGGCAUUUGGCGUUGUCAGUGUUUUGGAUUUUGGCCA
rnacentral:lncRNA from 1 species